rnacentral:rRNA from 1 species
AAUGAACGCUGGCGGCAUGCCUAACACAUGCAAGUCGAACGAAGGCUUCGGCCUUAGUGGCGCACGGGUGCGUAACGCGUGGGAAUCUGCCCUUGGGUUCGGAAUAACAGUUAGAAAUGACUGCUAAUACCGGAUGAUGACGUAAGUCCAAAGAUUUAUCGCCCAAGGAUGAGCCCGCGUAGGAUUAGCUAGUUGGUGGGGUAAAAGCCCACCAAGGCGACGAUCCUUAGCUGGUCUGAGAGGAUGAUCAGCCACACUGGGACUGAGACACGGCCCAGACUCCUACGGGAGGCAGCAGUGGGGAAUAUUGGACAAUGGGCGAAAGCCUGAUCCAGCAAUGCCGCGUGAGUGAUGAAGGCCUUAGGGUUGUAAAGCUCUUUUACCCGGGAUGAUAAUGACAGUACCGGGAGAAUAAGCUCCGGCUAACUUCGUGCCAGCCGCCGCAGUAAAAC